UAAUUCCAGCUCCAAUAGCGUAUAUUAAAGUUGUUGCAGUUAAAAAGCUCGUAGUUGAAUUUCGGGGUUCUACCGUUGGUCGGGCAAUAGUCUGUACUGGCGUGUGGAAUUUCUACCUUCUGGGGAACCAUCAUGUUAUUAAUUUAGCGUGGUGGGAAACCAGGACCUUUACCUUGAAAAAAUUAGAGUGUUUAAAGCAGGCA
rnacentral:rRNA from 1 species